rnacentral:rRNA from 1 species
AUUGAACGCUGGCGGCAUGCCUUACGCAUGCAAGUCGAACGGCAGCACGGGGCAACCUGGUGGCGAGUGGCGAACGGGUGAGUAAUGCAUCGGAACGUGCCAUUGAGUGGGGGAUAACGUAGCGAAAGUUGCGCUAAUACCGCAUAUUCUGUGAGCAGGAAAGCAGGGGACCGCAAGGCCUUGCGCUCUUUGAGCGGCCGAUGUCAGAUUAGCUAGUUGGUGAGGUAACGGCUUACCAAGGCGACGAUCUGUAGCGGGUCUGAGAGGAUGAUCCGCCACACUGGAACUGAGACACGGUCCAGACUCCUACGGGAGGCAGCAGUGGGGAAUUUUGGACAAUGGGCGCAAGCCUGAUCCAGCCAUGCCGCGUGCGGGGAAGAAAGGGCCCUUCGGGUUGGUUAAACCGGACCG